rnacentral:misc_RNA from 1 species
CUCCGGUUCCAACUGCCCAUUCAAAGUGAUGAUAUGAUCCAGCGGUAUCAGCAAAAGUUUGGCGCCAAUCAGCCUGGAUUUUGUUAUCAGAUACCUCAUAUUGGAAAGCUGUAUCUGCAACACAAAACCAACCGGUGCAGCGAGGUUCUCGCCGCAUACGCUUGAGCUCCUUUAGCUCCUUGAAUUCACGAAUAACAUUCCUUCUACAAUCUCUGCAAAAUCUUUUGCUGUCAAACCUGUACAUGAGCCUCUCAAUAAAAUCCUCUUCCUUCAUCCUUAAAAGAGACUGUCGAGUCUCUUCUCCAAGUGCUGACCAGAAAUCCACUAAUGUGUCACAAGAAAGCCUCGCAGUAUGUAGUGCACAUGUUUCUCUUGUUCCAUGUCCUCUACCAUAGCUUGCCAUUCCUUGGCUUAUCCAACCCCGACCUCCUCCACCACAGGCAUCAGGAUAGAGCAAUUCCCUUUCCCGUUCCCUUGCUCGUGCACUGUCAAAGACAUUUUGUAGACCCUUAAGGGACUUCGAAUACAAAUAACAAUUCAACAGUGUCAAAGAGCCAUCUCGUGUAGUGGUCAGACACCCCCAGGGAUGGACCGAUGGAUCUUGAAUUUCAUCUUGGCACCCAUUCAUCAUAUUUGGUUCUCCAUCACUUUGAUUUUCUGAGGUUGAUGUUCUAUUGCAAGAAAGGUGGCCCACUACCCCUUCUUGCUGCAAAGACUUGCCAUACAUAACAAUCUGCAAGAAACCUUCGAGUAAUAAACCAUUGCAUCUAGAACAAUACAUGUUCUUACGAGCUUGCUCAAACAGGGUUUGCUUGUCAAUCCGCAGAAGCUUCUGUCUAGCUUGUGGUGACAGCUCACUCCAGAACUUCUGGAGCUGAUUGUAG